UGGCUCAUUAUAUAAGUUAUCGUUUAUUUGAUAGUACCUUACUACUUGGAUAACCGUGGUAAUUCUAGAGCUAAUACAUGCUGAAAAUCCCGACUUCGGAAGGGAUGUAUUUAUUAGAUUAAAAACCAAUGCCCUCUGGGCUCCUUGGUGAUUCAUAAUAACUUUUCGAAUCGCACGGCCUUGCGCCGGCGAUGGUUCAUUCAAAUUUCUUCCCUAUCAACUUUCGAUGUUUGGGUAUUGGCCAAACAUGGUCGCAACGGGUAACGGAGGGUUAGGGCUCGACCCCGGAGAAGGAGCCUGAGAAACGGCUACUACAUCCAAGGAAGGCAGCAGGCGCGCAAAUUACCCAAUCCCGAUUCGGGGAGGUAGUGACAAUAAAUACUGAUACAGGGCUCUUUUGGGUCUUGUAAUUGGAAUGAGUACAAUUUAAAUCUCUUAACGAGGAACAAUUGGAGGGCAAGUCUGGUGCCAGCAGCCGCGGUAAUUCCAGCUCCAAUAGCGUAUAUUAAAGUUGUUGUGGUUAAAAAGCUCGUAGUUGAACCUUGGGCCUGGCUGGCCGGUCCGCCUCACCGCGUGUACUGGUCCGGCCGGGCCUUUCCCUCUGUGGAACCUCAUGCCCUUCACUGGGUGUGGCGGGGAAACAGGACUUUUACUUUGAAAAAAUUAGAGUGCUCCAGGCAGGCCUAUGCUCGAAUACAUUAGCAUGGAAUAAUAAAAUAGGACGUGUGGUUCUAUUUUGUUGGUUUCUAGGACCGCCGUAAUGAUUAAUAGGGACAGUCGGGGGCAUCAGUAUUCAAUUGUCAGAGGUGAAAUUCUUGGAUUUAUUGAAGACUAACUACUGCGAAAGCAUUUGCCAAGGAUGUUUUCAUUAAUCAGGAACGAAAGUUAGGGGAUCGAAGACGAUCAGAUACCGUCGUAGUCUUAACCAUAANCUAUGCCGACUAGGGAUCGGACGAUGUUAUUUUUUUGACGCGUUCGGCACCUUACGAGAAAUCAAAGUGCUUGG
rnacentral:rRNA from 1 species